rnacentral:rRNA from 1 species
AUUGAACGCUGGCGGAAUGCUUUACACAUGCAAGUCGAACGGCAGCACGGGUGCUUGCACCUGGUGGCGAGUGGCGAACGGGUGAGUAAUACAUCGGAACGUACCCAGUCGUGGGGGAUAACGUAGCGAAAGUUACGCUAAUACCGCACACGUCCUGAGGGAGAAAGCGGGGGACCGUAAGGCCUCGCGCGAUUGGAGCGGCCGAUGGCGGAUUAGCUAGUUGGUGGGGUAAAGGCCUACCAAGGCGACGAUCCGUAGCGGGGCUGAGAGGACGGCCCGCCACACUGGAACGGAGACACGGUCCAGACUCCUACGGGAGGCAGCAGUGGGGAAUUUUGGACAAUGGGCGAAAGCCUGAUCCAGCCAUUCCGCGUGAGUGAAGAAGGCCUUCGGGUUGUAAAGCUCUUUCGGCAGGGAAGAAACGGCUUGGGAUAAUACCCCGGGCUAAUGACGGUACCUGAAGAAGAAGCACCGGCUAACUACGUGCCAGCCGCCGCCGUAA